UACAGAGGUGGCGAGCGUUGUCCGGAGUUAUUGGGCGUAAAGCGCGUGUAGGCGGCCCGCUAAGUCCGCUGUGAAAGUCCAGGGCUCAACCCUGGGAUGCCGGUGGAUACUGUCGGGCUCGAGUCCGGAAGAGGAGUGUGGAAUUCCUGGUGUAGCGGUGAAAUGCGCAGAUAUCAGGAGGAACACCAAUGGCGAAGGCAGCACUCUGGGACGUGACUGACGCUGAGACGCGAAAGCGUGGGGAGCAAACAGG
rnacentral:rRNA from 1 species